rnacentral:rRNA from 1 species
AGAAUCAACGCUGGCGGCGUGCCUAACACAUGCAAGUCGAACGAGAAAGUGGAGCAAUCCAUGAGUAAAGUGGCGACCGGGUGAGUAACACGUGACUAACCUACCCUAGAGUGGGGAAUAACUUCGGGAAACCGAGGCUAAUACCGCAUAACAUCGCAGAGGGAAGCUCUUUGCGAUCAAAGGAGCAAUUCGCUCAAGGAGGGGGUCGCGGCUGAUUAGUUAGUUGGUGAGGUAACGGCUCACCAAGACUUAGAUCAGUAUCCGGCCUGAGAGGGCGCACGGACACACUGGAACUGAAACACGGUCCAGACUCCUACGGGAGGCAGCAGUGGGGAAUUUUGCGCAAUGGGGGAAACCCUGACGCAGCAACGCCGCGUGGAGGAUGAAGUCCCUUGGGAUGUAAACUCCUUUCGAUCGGGACGAUUAUGACGGUACCGGAAGAAGAAGCACCGGCUAACUCUGCGCCAGCAGCCGCGGUAA